GCCAGUUGUGGUGGUGUACACCUGUAAUCCCAGCUACUUGGGAGGCUGAGACAGGAGGAUCACAAGUUUGAGGCCAGCCUGGGCAAGUGAGCAAGACCUUGGCUCAA
rnacentral:sRNA from 1 species